UACAGAGGUCUCGAGCGUUAGGCGGAAUCACUGGGCUUAAAGCGUGUGUAGGCGGAUCGGUAAGUACCUUGUGAAAUCCCACAGCUUAACUGUGGAACUGCUUGGUAUACUGCCAGUCUUGAGCCACUUAGGGGCUACCGGAACAAAUGGUGGAGCGGUGAAAUGCGCAGAUAUCAGGAGGAACACCAAUUGCGAAGGCAGCUCGCUGGGACGUAACUGACGCUGAGACGCGAAAGCGUGGGGAGCAAACAGG
rnacentral:rRNA from 1 species